UAUCCCUUUCCUAAUUAUUCCCAACAUUCAGGGCCGGCUCCAGGCACCAGCUAAGGAAGCAGGUGCUUGGGGCAGUCAAUACAAAGGGGUGGCACUUCAUCCGCU